CCUGUCCUUCGACAUGAACACCUAGAAGCGCGGGUCGUGGGCUCUGCUAGGCCAGGCCGCCGCCGCCUGAGACCCGAUGCCCCGCCGCGCCCAGGGCCGCAGAGGCCAGCAACGCCUGCCCGCCGGCGCCCUCUGCUGGCCGCGGCUUCCGCGGAGACGAACCGCGCAGGGCCGGGAAGGCCCCCGAUGGGGAGGCCGCGAAAACAGCCGAGGGCGGUGAAACUCCGCUUCCGGUUUCGUAUUUUGAGUUGGGGGGGGGGUCAAGUUCUGUGAAACAUCCUGAACACUGAGAUCUGACAUCUCCUGAGCGCUUUCGGGUUUGCCGGGGUGCUGAGCACGGAGCGCGGCUGCGCCCACUGCCCGGCACCUUCACGCGGGCGGCCUGGGGCGUCGGGGUCCCCGCCGAGGUCCGCCCCGGCCUUUCGGGUCGCUUCUUUCACGGAGGGCGACGCGCUGCACCCUCCCGGUCCGCCCACCGCCCGCCUGCCCGGGGCGUCUCUUCCGCUGCGGGCGACCCCCAGCUCCGGACGCGGCGUCGCCCCCGGGGAGGGUCCGCCCACCUCCGGGCUGCGCGGCGCCGCGGCUCACGCACGUCUGCCCUCCCGUUUCCGUUUCCGUUCUGGGGUGCGCACUGAGAUGUUCGGUCCCUUUCGUGGGUCUCUCCUUGUCGAGUCCCCCUCCAGGUCCCGGUGAGAGGCUGAGACCAGACAGCGAAGAGCGAGCGUGGCACAAGCCCUGAAGACAGCACCCGAGAGAAGCAAGCCCCCGCCCCCGGAAGUGACAGAGUGCUCUGCUGGCAGCCCCACCUCCCAAGUCACUCGGGGAACAAUCGCCUAACUUCCCCACCACGAAGCUCCGCUUACAGUGCCCACCGAGAAGUUCAAACGUGCAGUGGAUUUAAACCUCACCUCUGGCUGCAGCCAAACACCUGCCUCCACUCUGUCCCCCCAGGCCCCUUGCCCCUAUAGGAGUCACCUAGCCAGCCCCUGGCCGCUGCUCUGCCAUUGUUCGAGACAGCCCGGCACCUGUCCCCUAAUAAAGGCUUCGUCUUGGGUGUUGUGUUUUCGGCUCAUUCUCGUCCUCUCCCAAAGCACCAAUACGCAGGGCCCCUUCCGGGGAGUCCCGGAGCAGCUGUGUGCAGCCACAGCAGAAGGGGGCUGCCGUGCUGGGGCGGGGAGCAAGCAGCAAAGGCC
rnacentral:lncRNA from 1 species